GAUGAACGCUGGCGGCGUGCCUAAUACAUGCAAGUCGAGCGAACAGAUGAGGAGCUUGCUCCUCUGACGUUAGCGGCGGACGGGUGAGUAACACGUGGAUAACCUACCUAUAAGACUGGGAUAACUUCGGGAAACCGGAGCUAAUACCGGAUAAUAUAUUGAACCGCAUGGUUCAAUAGUGAAAGACGGUUUUGCUGUCACUUAUAGAUGGAUCCGCGCCGCAUUAGCUAGUUGGUAAGGUAACGGCUUACCAAGGCAACGAUGCGUAGCCGACCUGAGAGGGUGGUCGGCCACACUGGAACUGAGACACGGUCCAGACUCCUACGGGAGGCAGCAGUAGGGAAUCUUCCGCAAUGGGCGAAAGCCUGACGGAGCAACGCCGCGUGAGUGAUGAAGGUCUUCGGAUCGUAAAACUCUGUUAUUAGGGAAGAACAAAUGUGUAAGUAACUAUGCACGUCUUGACGGUACCUAAUCAGAAAGCCACGGCUAACUACGUG
rnacentral:rRNA from 1 species